rnacentral:rRNA from 1 species
UACGUAGGGGGCAAGCGUUGUCCGGAUUUAUUGGGCGUAAAGAGCGUGUAGGCGGCCAUGCAGGUCAGCUGUGUAAACUCGAUGGCUCAACCUCGAGAUGUCGGUUGAAACCGUAUGGCUAGAGUCCGGAAGAGGAGAGUGGAAUUCCCGGUGUAGCGGUGAAAUGCGCAGAUAUCGGGAAGAACACCCGUGGCGAAGGCGGCUCUCUGGGACGGUACUGACGCUGAGACGCGAAAGCGUGGGGAGCGAACAGG